CAACUGGUAUCCAACAAAUGUUUAUUGAGCGUGUAUAUGUUCCAGGCCAUGUUAUAGAGCAAUAAACAAAACCAACAAAACCCCUGUCCUCAAUUUCUUAUAGUCUGGAGGAAGACACUUCUUGCUGCCAGAUGAUCCACAAUGAAAGAGGCAGAAGCCUGGAAUGUGAAGCUCCAGACACUGCCUGAGACCAGUGUCCGUGACUGAGCACACCUAUGUCACCAUUGAAGACCUAAACAGUUUCUUACUACAAAGCAUAGGUCACUGUGCCCAAGCUGUUCCCCAAAGGGUCCUGUGGAUUUACAGAGAGGAGGAUCAAAUGUAAAUCUAGUGGAGAGAAUUGUGGAAAGGGUGUGUGUGUGUGUGUGUGUGUAACAGUGGUAGUAGUAGCAGUAGUAGUAAUAGCCAUCCCCUC
rnacentral:lncRNA from 10 species